GAGGGUGUAGCUCAGUGGCAGAGUGUGUGCUUACCAUGCGCAAGGUCCUGGGUUCAAUCCCCAGGACCUCCA
rnacentral:tRNA from 1 species